GCACUGCUGAGGAGUCCCAUACUAAAACGAAACGGCCGUCCAGUGC
rfam:Schistosoma mattheei strain Denwood, Zambia genome assembly, scaffold: SMTD_scaffold0001502